GUGGGGAAUAUUGGACAAUGGGGGGAACCCUGAUCCAGCCAUGCCACGUGUGUGAAGAAGGCCUUUUGGUUGUAAAGCACUUUAAGCGAGGAGGAGGCUACCGAGAUUAAUACUCUUGGAUAGUGGACGUUACUCGCAGAAUAAGCACCGGCUAACUCUGUGCCAGCAGCCGCGGUAAUACAGAGGGUGCAAGCGUUAAUCGGAUUUACUGGGCGUAAAGCGCGCGUAGGUGGCCAAUUAAGUCAAAUGUGAAAUCCCCGAGCUUAACUUGGGAAUUGCAUUCGAUACUGGUUGGCUAGAGUAUGGGAGAGGAUGGUAGAAUUCCAGGUGUAGCGGUGAAAUGCGUAGAGAUCUGGAGGAAUACCGAUGGCGAAGGCAGCCAUCUGGCCUAAUACUGACACUGAGGUGCGAAAGCAUGGGGAGCAAACAGGAUUAGAAACCCCAGUAGUCC
rnacentral:rRNA from 1 species